rnacentral:ncRNA from 1 species
UCAUCAAGAGCAGUGGAGGGACUGGCCCAAUAAAAUUGCAGCAACCUGGUAGAAGGUGCUAAUUCCGACAGAUAUAAAUCUGGUAGAUGAA